rnacentral:misc_RNA from 1 species
AGGUACUAGGACGAAAGAAGCAGUGGACCGACGUAGGCCGUCGUAGAGGCAGGCGGCGGAUGGCGCACGAGGCUCUCUCUCUCUCUCGCUCGGCGAGGGAUGGAGUCAUGGAGGGAGGCGCGGACCUGGUCGAGCGCGGGCGGGCGCUUCUCGUAGUGGAAGGUGGCGACGAGGAUGGCGAGGGCGUGGACGUGGUUGACGGAGACGGCGAACUGGUCCUGCAGCAUGCGCGCGCGCUCCUCGCACAUGCUGACGAGCCCCUCCUCCGCCUUGCGCAGCGCCGCGUGGCGGAAGUAGGAGUGCAGGAACACCCCGAGCGCCAAGGCCCCCAGCACCCACACCAGCACCGCUACGGCGAUCAGCUUCGCCUUCAAGGUCCACCCGCUGCCAUCCUCCGCGUCCUUCCCCGCCUCCUCCGCCGGCGCCGGCGCCGACACCGCCGCGGCCUCCCCUCCGCCUCCGCCUCCGCCUCCCACCCCCAUCCCAGGGGCCAGGGCAGGUCCCCGCCGCCGCAGCAGCUCUCACAUACGCUGCACCGCAGGCCACCGACCGACCACUCCUCUGCUUCCGCCGUCCGGCGCCCACGCCGCCUCCUCUCCGCGAGAAUCCGAGCUCUCCUCUCCCGCUGCUUUGAUGUGUUAUUUUGGUG